CAACACCUCCAGAGUGAGAGCAACAAAUUCAACGAACUGCCAAGUUGUCUGUACCACCUGGGUGCAAGCAGGAAUGAAGAAACUGGCCCAGAGAGGUGAAACAACCCAGCCGAUGUCAUGUCGUAGCUAAGAUGACAGCUGUUGGCCUGUACCUCGGCCCUCAAGUUUCCCAUGCAAUGUGCUUCCUACUAUUCAUUGUUGCCCCGUCUCUAGAAAUGCUGUAAAAAUCUACACAGAAAACCUGACCGUCUAUGUGGUUCUUGCGGAGGAAUGAAAAGAAACAUGGCAAAUGAGGAACAGUUUAUGUAUUUCAGAAAAUAUGACACAAAUUGUGAAAAUGGUAUACAGCAGCUCAGCUUUGGGAAACGUGAGUCCUGUCUGCUUAUGGAUGUAUCGAUUCAUGGGUAUUACACUUGUCUCCCAAGUUGCUUGCUGAUGCUUUCAAGGUCAGGUAAUAACAUUCUCCAAGGAACUAAGCGGAGUGGCUGUCCUCAUUUCUCCCCUGACCUGCAGGCUGGCUGGCUGGUUGCCUUGCUUCUGGGAGAUGGCCAGGCAGCCUGUUGCUCCCUGUGCCCCUCACCGACCAGGCAGCUCACUCCCUUUGUGGCAGCCUCAUGUCAAAACCCAUCAGAAUAAGAGACUAUUAAUGAGGAUGGGAAGAGACAGAGAAAAGAGGGAAACACCACAGUAAGAUAAAAACAGAUCAAUAGUGAAGCUAAACAGAGCAAGAGGUUCUGAAAGCAAUUCAGGAGCUGUUAGCUUCUCAACAAACACAGGGUUUCUGAUAAUCUCAGAUGGACACAAAAAGGAGAGAGAUGGACAAAAAGCCAGAGAAGCACAUCAAUGGAAAGCAAUAAGGAGGCUUUACCCAGCCAGAACUCAUCCUCCACGUUCCCGAAGCCAACACGGUAAUCAGCCCAUUUCCGGAAAAAAUCAGUUUGGCCAUUCUGCCGCCUCUGGAAUACCUAUGAAGGAAAUAAAAAAACAAAAAACAAACAAACAAAAAAACAAAACCCAAAGAGAUGCUAAGGAAAAUAAACUGUGAUAAGUAAAAUUGAUAUAACUGGGUUUUAUAUCUGCAAUGACAAAGAUGUCCAAAGAAGGAACAUUUCAGAGCAGAGCUCAGUAUUUACACAGCAGUUUUUGUAGGAGACACUCAGAGCAUUUCUCUUGAAGUGUAGAGGCCCCUGAUGAAUAGGCUCCAGUGUGAUGUUGACACUAAUUUGCACCCCUGCAAUGUAGAAAGGACUCAGGAUACAUAUCAAGCCCUAAAUAUCAGGGGAAAUAGGCUUGGCUCUCAAACGAAUCUUUUGCACUACAGAGUGCAGUAGAAAGCAUUUCUCACCAAAAGAACAGGA
rnacentral:lncRNA from 10 species